CGAUCUCAUAUCCAAUUUAAGUUGAUCUGAUUUUCCUGGUGGUGAUGAUUUGCAGAGGAAGACGCAAAGAAUUCAAGUUUGUCAGAAGGCACAAGAAUUGAAGGGGGAACCCAACUUAGUUAUUAGGAGCAGCAUUCAUCCAUUGCAGGAAUGGAAAUGGACUUGCUAUGUUUUCUUGGCCAUAAUAAGCGGAGAGAUUUUCUAGAUACUCCAAAUUUGAAUUUUCUAUUAGCUGUUGUUUUUUAUGCAUAACAGAGAACACGUUUUACUGGAUGCCAGUUUAAGCUGUGUGCACUUGAACCGAUUAUCUUGGAAGAAAAAGAGCAAAAUACCAGUUGGUUUGAUAUUUUUCUUCUUUUAGAUAUUUAUCAUUUUAUUCAAUUGGAAUUGCAAUAUUUUUGAA